rnacentral:rRNA from 1 species
CCGGUGGGGGAGCUACACAUGCAAGUCGAGCGGUAGCACAGAGAGCUUGCUCUCGGGUGACGAGCGGCGGACGGGUGAGUAAUGUCUGGGAAACUGCCUGAUGGAGGGGGAUAACUACUGGAAACGGUAGCUAAUACCGCAUAACGUCGCAAGACCAAAGUGGGGGACCUUCGGGCCUCAUGCCAUCAGAUGUGCCCAGAUGGGAUUAGCUAGUAGGUGGGGUAACGGCUCACCUAGGCGACGAUCCCUAGCUGGUCUGAGAGGAUGACCAGCCACACUGGAACUGAGACACGGUCCAGACUCCUACGGGAGGCAGCAGUGGGGAAUAUUGCACAAUGGGCGCAAGCCUGAUGCAGCCAUGCCGCGUGUGUGAAGAAGGCCUUCGGGUUGUAAAGCACUUUCAGCGGGGAGGAAGGCGGUGAGGUUAAUAACCUUAUCGAUUGACGUUACCCGCAGAAGAAGCACCGGCUAACUCCGUGCCAGCAGCCGCGGUAAUACGGAGGGUGCAAGCGUUAAUCGGAAUUACUGGGCGUAAAGCGCACGCAGGCGGUCUGUCAAGUCGGAUGUGAAAUCCCCGGGCUCAACCUGGGAACUGCAUUCGAAACUGGCAGGCUAGAGUCUUGUAGAGGGGGGUAGAAUUCCAGGUGUAGCGGUGAAAUGCGUAGAGAUCUGGAGGAAUACCGGUGGCGAAGGCGGCCCCCUGGACAAAGACUGACGCUCAGGUGCGAAAGCGUGGGGAGCAAACAGGAUUAGAUACCCUGGUAGUCCACGCCGUAAACGAUGUCGAUUUGGAGGUUGUGCCCUUGAGGCGUGGCUUCCGGAGCUAACGCGUUAAAUCGACCGCCUGGGGAGUACGGCCGCAAGGUUAAAACUCAAAUGAAUUGACGGGGGCCCGCACAAGCGGUGGAGCAUGUGGUUUAAUUCGAUGCAACGCGAAGAACCUUACCUGGUCUUGACAUCCACAGAACUUUCCAGAGAUGGAUUGGUGCCUUCGGGAACUGUGAGACAGGUGCUGCAUGGCUGUCGUCAGCUCGUGUUGUGAAAUGUUGGGUUAAGUCCCGCAACGAGCGCAACCCUUAUCCUUUGUUGCCAGCGGUUAGGCCGGGAACUCAAAGGAGACUGCCAGUGAUAAACUGGAGGAAGGUGGGGAUGACGUCAAGUCAUCAUGGCCCUUACGACCAGGGCUACACACGUGCUACAAUGGCAUAUACAAAGAGAAGCGACCUCGCGAGAGCAAGCGGACCUCAUAAAGUAUGUCGUAGUCCGGAUUGGAGUCUGCAACUCGACUCCAUGAAGUCGGAAUCGCUAGUAAUCGUAGAUCAGAAUGCUACGGUGAAUACGUUCCCGGGCCUUGUACACACCGCCCGUCACACCAUGGGAGUGGGUUGCAAAAGAAGUAGGUAGCUUAACCUUCGGGAGGGCGCUACCACUUGGAUUCAGGGG